rnacentral:rRNA from 1 species
UUUUCGCUGUAAGAUGAGUCCGCGUAAGAUUAGCUAGUUGGUGAGGUAAUGGCUCACCAAGGCGACGAUCUUUAACUGGUCUGAGAGGAUGAUCAGUCACACUGGAACUGAGACACGGUCCAGACUCCUACGGGAGGCAGCAGUAGGGAAUAUUGCACAAUGGAGGAAACUCUGAUGCAGCGACGCCGCGUGAGUGAUGAAGGCCUUCGGGUCGUAAAGCUCUGUCGCAGGGGAAUAACACAAUGAAUGUACCCUGUAAGAAAGGAUCGGCUAACUUCGUGCCAGCAGCCGCGGUAAGACGAGGGAUCCUAGCGUUGUUCGGAAUUAUUGGGCGUAAAGCGGAUGUAGGUGGCUUUGUAAGUCAGAUGUGAAAGCCCAGGGCUCAACCCUGGAAGUGCAUUUGAUACUGCGAAGCUUGAGUGUCGGAGAGGUUACUAGAAUUGUUGGUGUAGUGGUGAAAUACGUAGAUAUCAACAGGAAUACCGAAGGCGAAA